rnacentral:rRNA from 1 species
UACAGAGGGUGCAAGCGUUGUUCGGAAUUAUUGGGUGUAAAGGGUGCGUAGGCGGUGCGGUAAGUCUGUAGUGAAAUCUCUGGGCUCAACUCAGAGUCUGCUAUAGAAACUGCCGUGCUUGAGUGUGGGAGAGGUGAGUGGAAUUCCCGGUGUAGCGGUGAAAUGCGUAGAUAUCGGGGAGGAACACCUGUGGCGAAAAGCGGCUCACUGGACCACAACUGACGCUGAGGCGCGAAAGCUAGGGGAGCAAACAGG